UGGGGAAUCUUGGACAAUGGGGGCAACCCUGAUCCAGCCAUGCCGCGUGGGUGAUGAAGGCCUUAGGGUCGUAAAGCCCUUUCGCUGGGGAAGAUAAUGACGGUACCCAGUAAAAGAAGCCCCCGGCUAACUCCGUGCCAGCAGCCGCGGUAAUACGGAGGGGGCUAGCGUUGUUCGGAAUGACUGGGCGUAAAGCGCGCGUAGGCGGAUCAGAAAGUUGGGGGUGAAAUCCCGGGGCUCAACCCUGGAAUGGCCUUCAAAACUCCUGGUCUUGAGUUCGAGAGAGGUGAGUGGAAUUCCGAGUGUAGAGGUGAAAUUCGUAGAUAUUCGGAGGAACACCAGUGGCGAAGGCGGCUCACUGGCUCGACACUGACGCUGAGGUGCGAAAGCGUGGGGAGCAAACAGGAUUAGAUACCCCUGGUAGUCCACGCCGUAAAACGAUGAAUGCCAGACGUCGGGGGGCUUGCCCUUCGGUGUCACACCUAACGGAUUAA
rnacentral:rRNA from 1 species